AGUUCAAAACUGCGGUGGCUGGGGGCUGGCCGCGUCCUCAGCGCGACCCUGGAGCUGGGGAAGAAUGGAUCAUGGCAGAAUACAGAAAAUGAGCUCAUGUGUGCAAGCCUCCUUCCGGAAAUCAUAACAGCUAUGUGUAUAUGAAGUGUUUACUCUGUGGCAGGUACUCUGGAAGCACCUUUUAUUCACUGUCUCAUCUGAUUCUCAUGACAGCCCUGUCAUUAUCCCCCGCCCCCCCCCCCACCUUCCCAUUUCACAGCUGAGGAAGUCAAAGUGCAGAAAGGUUAAAGGAACUCGUAAGUGAAGGCACUGCGAUCUGAACUCAGACAAUCCAGCCUAAAAACCCAUGGUCUCAGCCACCAUGCCGUGUUUCCUAAAAAAAUUACGCUAUGACAGUGGACCGUUUUUGCUUAACUCCAGAGACUUUAAUUCACCCACCUAGAAAACCUGUCAUGAAAACAUAGAGGAUUUUUUCCUGAGAGUUCUUAGGACCGUGAAACAGUGUCACAAAUCCUGUUCAGAAAGCUGGGAUCAUGCAGAUGACCAGGCAGAUGGAAGAAAAGUAAAAAUAUAA
rnacentral:antisense_RNA from 1 species